rnacentral:lncRNA from 1 species
GCAAGCGUGUCCCCAUGGGUUUUCCAUAUGCAUCUCUGUUGCCCACGAAGCGCUGGACUAAGCAUGCCUGGGAAAAGAAAGGGGCGAGACUGAAACUUUUUCUCCUGACUUCCCUGACUUCCCAGGAGUCUGUCUGGUACCUAGAGGAGAAGGUGAGAAAUGAAGAAGAAAAUGCUGCCCAAUUUCCUUCAUUUCCAAUUGAGAGACUCUUUCAAGAUUUCCCAUCUCUGAAUUUGCCAAGUUAAGAAAAGUUCCAGCUGAAACAACAGGUUCUCAGAUACUCACUGCUGCAGACCAGUCAUGCUAGACAACCACACACUGUUAUUGCCUCAUCUCUGCAGAG